GAUGAACGCUGGCGGCGUGCUUAACACAUGCAAGUCGAACGGGAUCCCGGGGGUUCGCUUCCGGGUGAGAGUGGCGAACGGGUGAGUAAUGCGUGACCGACCUGCCCCAUACACCGGAAUAGCUCCUGGAAACGGGUGGUAAUGCCGGAUGCUCCGGUUGGAUGCAUGUCCUUCCGGGAAAGAUUCUAUCGGUAUGGGAUGGGGUCGCGUCCUAUCAGCUUGAUGGCGGGGUAACGGCCCACCAUGGCUUCGACGGGUAGCCGGCCUGAGAGGGCGACCGGCCACAUUGGGACUGAGAUACGGCCCAGACUCCUACGGGAGGCAGCAGUGGGGAAUAUUGCACAAUGGGCGCAAGCCUGAUGCAGCGACGCCGCGUGCGGGAUGGAGGCCUUCGGGUUGUAAACCGCUUUUGAUCGGGAGCAAGCCCUUCGGGG
rnacentral:rRNA from 1 species